CAGCAGCCGCCGCGGUAAUACAGAGGGUGCGAGCGUUAAUCGGAUUUACUGGGCGUAAAGCGUGCGUAGGCGGCUUUUUAAGUCGGAUGUGAAAUCCCUGAGCUUAACUUAGGAAUUGCAUUCGAUACUGGGAAGCUAGAGUAUGGGAGAGGAUGGUAGAAUUCCAGGUGUAGCGGUGAAAUGCGUAGAGAUCUGGAGGAAUACCGAUGGCGAAGGCAGCCAUCUGGCCUAAUACUGACGCUGAGGUACGAAAGCAUGGGGAGCAAACAGGAUUAGAUACCCCCGUAGUCCCUGUCUCUUAUAA
rnacentral:rRNA from 1 species